rnacentral:rRNA from 1 species
UGGGGAAUUUUGCGCAAUGGGGGAAACCCUGACGCAGCAACGCCGCGUGGGUGAUGAAGGCCCUUGGGUCGUAAAGCCCUGUCGGGUGGGAAGAAUCCCUUGGCGGCGAAUAGUCGCCAAGGAUGACGGUACCACUAGAGGAAGCACCGGCUAACUCUGUGCCAGCAGCCGCGGUAAUACAGAGGGUGCAAGCGUUGUUCGGAAUCACUGGGCGUAAAGCGCGUGUAGGCGGCCGAUUGUGUCGAGUGUG